rnacentral:rRNA from 1 species
UUUUAUGAGAGUUUGAUCCUGGCUCAGGACGAACGCUGGCGGCGUGCCUAAUACAUGCAAGUCGAACGCUUCUUUUUCCACCGGAGCUUGCUCCACCGGAAAAAGAGGAGUGGCGAACGGGUGAGU